rnacentral:lncRNA from 1 species
AAAGAGUUGUUUGCGAAGGUCGCUGGAGUUCGGACGCUUUGAAACAGUUUAAACAGUUGGAACAAACACACCCGGAGCCCCGGAAAGGCGUUGGUGUAGGAGCUGCGCCUCCCUGAUUUGGAGUUGCAGAACCUUGCCCUGCUUUUAUCUCACUUUACCGCCCGAGAAUGGCGCCAGCCGGGGUGGGGGGGGCUAAAGAUUUGGACCCAGACCGUGCCACUGCCAACUGCCCUCCCGCCCUUGCUCCCUUCCCGGGCUGGGGCCAGUGGGCCCUGCCUAGGGGAGAUGUGGACAGCUCCGGCAGCUCGUGUUCGCAGUCACCCUGAACGCCCUCCUCUGAACUCCCACGUGUCUCCAUUCUCCUAAGCUCAGGUCGUCAAAGGCAAACGGAGAAGCCCCUUUAGGUCGGAGAGUGGUCAGUAUUGCCCACCCAGAGCUGGGAGAAAAACGGGAACCCCAAGAGAACCUCUUCCCACCAAAGCGCAGCCACCACGCCACAGAUGGCGCCCUUCAACAGUGUGUAAUACCACAACAUGCUGUAAUCGUUUACUCUUUACAAAUUUCUUUUUCACGUACUCACAAAAUAGUACAAAUUAAAAAAAGUUACAAAAACGUUUGUAUAGUAUUGGCUCAUUUUAUAAAAACGUGCCUAGAAAAAAAUUGAAGGUUACCAAUAUAUUAAAUGCUGUGGAAUCAACGAUUUUUAUGUUUCUCCUUGUUACUUCCAAGUAUGCUUUAAAUCUGCAGUGCGUAUGUUUUAUGUCUUACAUUAAAAACAAUUAUUUAAAAAUUAAUCAUUGCCCAGAGAAGACUUCAAGUAUUUGAAACGAGGAAUAUUGUGAACUCUUAUAAGGGUUCAAAGAGGAUAGAUAAAUGGUUUAGUUUUGUUUUUUUCUUCCUCUUCUGCAUUUACAAUCUUUCUAACUCUAUACAAGACUGGUUUUCAGUUUCUAGCUUCCUGGAAUUAUUCAAAACCAGGUGAAGUAGAUAAUACUGGCAGUGGUUUUGCUAUUUCAUUCAAAAACCACACACACACCCCUGACUAUAGCAAUCAACGCCCAAAAAGCUGCAGAGCUUACUUUCUCUAGGUUGCAUAAUUUGACACUCCCAGGAUUUAUGUGUAAAUUUGUAUAUUCAGAUAUUCCUUGAGAUAAGUGAAGCCUAAAUUAAUUACUUGUAAUUGAAGCAAGCUUCUUUAACUCCUAUUAAUUCCUUUCAGCUGUUAUGUGAAAACCCUGCAACAUGAUCUGCACAAUGAAAACAAGUUAGGAGAAAACUGUUUGCAAAGGACCUCACAUGAAAGAUGCAGAGACAUAAUAAUAAAAUAACAUUUCUGAGUCCAAGAAAAAGACAAGAGUAAAUUGUUAACAAUUCAAGUUACUUAUUAAAAUUACGACAUCAGAGAAGGUAGACAAUGAGCCUAGUAGGUAGGAGAUACCAGAGUCAUAUGACAUGGUUACUGCUCUAAAGGAGUUUAUAAAGUAUUUGGUAUUUCCUUGUUAAGCCACAAAAUUUCCAUUGAGUUUAGACUGAAUGAAAUAACCUUCACUUUUCCAAUGCUGCAAUUUGCUGAGAGUGUGUUAUUUCAGGCAUCUGCAGAGUACAUAUUUUCAAAGGGAGGGGAGCAAUAUGAUAAGAGUUUGAACUUGUUUAAGAAAAACAAACACUAAGGAAAAGCUGUUUGGCAUUUGGUUUAGCCAAAUAAAGGGAACCCCAUUCUCAAGACCACCCACGUCAAGGAGGUGCCCAAUCUUGGCAGACUCUGGAAUGUGAUUGUCUUCAUAUGAGAGCCUGAGCCCUUGCUUUGCCCUCCAAACCUGCCUAUUGUGUUAGGAGGGCACAGAUAAUGCAUGUUGAGAAGCUCUGGAGGAGCAAGAAAGAACAAGAAAGAGGAGGUGCUGGUUUUUCUCUCCUGUCUUGCUGCCAUGGGAUCCUUUUUUGCUGCCAGGCUCUCCUCGCUACUAUUUGGGAAAAAUACCCUCCAAUUGGUUUUAUGUU